UAAGACGAAGGUGGCAAGCGUUGUUCGGAUUCACUGGGCAUAAAGGGCGCGUAGGCGGUUCCGAAAGUGGCCUGUGAAAUCCCCCGGCUCAACCGGGGAAGUGCGGGCCAAACUUCGGGGCUUGAGGCUGGGAGGGGAGACUGGAACUCUCGGUGGAGCGGUGAAAUGCGUAGAUAUCGAGAGGAACACCGGUGGCGAAGGCGAGUCUCUGGUCCAGCUCUGACGCUGAGGCGCGAAAGCGUGGGUAGCAAACAGG
rnacentral:rRNA from 1 species